AGGUUACUGCUAUCGAGGUUCGACUAAGCCAUGCGAGUCGAAUGUAGCAAUACAUGGCGUACUGCUCAGUAACACGUGGACAACCUACCCUUAGGCCUGGGAUAACCCCGGGAAACUGGGAAUAAUACCGGAUAUAUCGCGAAUGCUGGAAUGCGUCGCGAUAGAAAGCUCCGACGCCUAAGGAUGGGUCUGCGGCCUAUCAGGGUAGUAGUGGGUGUAAUGUACCUACUAGCCUACGACGGGUACGGGUUGUGAGAGCAAGAGCCCGGAGAUGGAUUCUGAGACACGAAUCCAGGCCCUACGGGGUGCAGCAGGCGCGAAAACUUUACAAUGCUGGCAACAGCGAUAAGGGGACCUCGAGUGCCAGGAUACAAUCCUGGCUGUCGUAAUGCCUAAAAAGCAUUGCAUAGCAAGGGCCGGGCAAGACCGGUGCCAGCCGCCGCGGUAACACCGGCGGCUCGAGUGGUAACCGCUAUUAUUGGGUCUAAAGGGUCUGUAGCCGGCUGACUAAGUCUCUUGGGAAAUCUGGCAGCUUAAUUGUCAGGCUUUCAGGAGAUACUGAUCGGCUCGAGACCGGGAGAGGUGAGAGGUACCUCAGGGGUAGGGGUGAAAUCUUGUAAUCCUUGAGGGACCACCAGUGGCGAAGGCGUCUCACCAGAACGGAUCUGACGGCAAGGGACGAAAGCUAGGGGCACGAACCGGAUUAGAUACCCGGGUAGUCCUAGCCGUAAACGAUACUCGCUAGGUGUCGGCCACGGUGCGACCGUGGUCGGUGCCGCAGGGAAGCCGUGAAGCGAGCCACCUGGGAAGUACGGCCGCAAGGCUGAAACUUAA
rnacentral:rRNA from 1 species